AUUGAACGCUGGCGGCAGGCCUAACACAUGCAAGUCGAGCGGAUGAAGGGAGCUUGCUCCUGGAUUCAGCGGCGGACGGGUGAGUAAUGCCUAGGAAUCUGCCUGGUAGUGGGGGAUAACGUCCGGAAACGGGCGCUAAUACCGCAUACGUCCUGAGGGAGAAAGUGGGGGCUCUUCGGACCUCACGCUAUCAGAUGAGCCUAGGUCGGAUUAGCUAGUUGGUGGGGUAAAGGCCUAUCAAGGCGACGAUCCGUAACUGGUCUGAGAGGAUGAUCAGUCACACUGGAACUGAUACACGGUCCAGACUCCUACGGGAGGCAGCAGUGGGGAAUCUUCGACAAUGGGCGAAAGCCUGAUCCAGCCCUGCCGCGUGUGUGAAGACGGUCUUCGGAUUGUAAAGCACUUUAAGUUGGGAGGAAGGGCAGUAAGUUAAUACCUUGCUGUUUUGACGUUACCAACAGAAUAAGCACCGGCUAACUUCGUG
rnacentral:rRNA from 1 species